CUUUCAAUAUGUUUUUAACGGGAUAGGAAGACAUGACCGGUUUAGAACUAGGGUAGGCACUAAUGAUGUGGUGUUGAAUACCCGAGAGAUACAGUUUUAUGGUAUUUAAUAAUAGUUUAAGGUUAAGGUGGCAAAAGGAGAUAAACGGAAUGAUAGAAUCUAGUGAAUGUCGCUUAUCUGAUAAUCUGUCGUGAAUUUGGUAUAUAUGUGUCACAUCCUGUUCCUCGCUGCGGAUCAUU